GCGGGGGUAGCUAAGUCUGGUCAAAAGCGCUGGAUUUAGGGUCCAGUCCUGAAGGGGUUCGUGAGUUCGAAUCUCACUCCCCGCA
rnacentral:tRNA from 1 species